UACGAAGGGGGGCUAGCGUUGUUCGGAAUUACUGGGCGUAAAGCGCGCGCAGGCGGCCUUUCAAGUCAGGGGUGAAAGCCCGGAGCUCAACUCCGGAAUUGCCUUUGAAACUGUCAGGCUCGAGUACGGGAGAGGUGAGUGGAAUUCCCAGUGUAGAGGUGAAAUUCGUAGAUAUUGGGAAGAACACCGGUGGCGAAGGCGGCUCACUGGCCCGUUUCUGACGCUCAGGCGCGACAGCGUGGGGAUCAAACAGG
rnacentral:rRNA from 1 species